AUUCCUGUUAUUGGAGUAAUGCUCUCAUGGAGAAAGGAAACUGGUUCCAAUUUAGUGUCAGUUCCAGGAUAAUCAUCCAGGGUAAUCACUUUCUCUGCCUGGCUGAGGAUGAUCCAUCUUGUGAAAGAUCAAAGAGUAAAUAUCUAUGUAGAAAGAUCUGAAGAACAUGUUGACAAGCUGGCUUGAAUCAUUUAAAUUAUUCGCACUUCUCUGUGGCUGGCAGAAGAACUUCUGCAGGCAAGAACAUAGCCGAAUGGCCCCAACAGUGAAAUAGAGUGACUCAGGAUUCCACAAAAGCUGAAGGAGAGUACACGGGGCGAACACAUUUUCUGGAGGGAGCGGUAUUGGAAUCCCAAGGCGCUGGGCACGGCUCCCGAGGAAGACUGGAGAGAUUCAAAGCUAGGGAGAUCUCCUGCUGCCUUGAGGAGGCAAACUGCUGUGUCUGGAAAAGGCUGCCUGGCAGGGAAUAGCAGACAGCUUCUACGAGUUGGAAUGGCCCCCAGCUGAUGGCCAGCAAGAAGGCAAGGAACUGAAUCUUCCCAACAAUCAGUGAACUUGGAAAAGGACUCCAAGCUUCAGUGAGUAUUGUCAACACGGGCUGUCGUCCGGAGAGCGAGCUGUUAGGCUGGAAUAACACGGCGCUCUCAGGAGCAUCUGGAGGACCGGAGACAGCACAGCAGUUUUGAAGCUUUUCUUUUUUUUUUAAAUGCGGGUUGCAAGACAGCCUCCCGCCAUCUCUCCCUACUUCUGAAUAAGAGGAUUCUAAUGGAGUCACCAUGGGUGAUGAGGCUGAGCCCCGAGGUCCUCCCCUGCCGGGACUGUUUCUGCUGCCUGGUUGUUAGCUGUGUGGCUGCCGCCUUUGUCUUUGGUUUCUGCAGGGAAAGGCGUUCAAAGAAGGAGGUGAGCUUCACCUUGGUGAUUCCUCUCCCAGCAAAAUGAAUACAAACAUCUAAUGUCAUGACCCCCAUCCUGUUCCACACAUUCAGCA